UCACAUAUGGGUGAAUAUGUUUCACAUAUGCGUGAAUACAUUUCACAUGUAUGUAAAACAUAUUCACGCAUAUGUGAAUCAUAUUCACCCAUAUGUGA
rnacentral:miRNA from 1 species